GUGGAAUUGAAGCAGACAGCAGUACACAGCAGCUGUUAGCAAGCCUAGAAGACAGACUAAAUGAGUUGCUAGACACUGUGGAAACACUGCCCUGUACUAAAGUGAAAGCUGUUCGAAAACGUCAUCGAAAGGAAAUUAAUCUAAGAAUACAAGAGGAAAAUAUCAGAUUAGCAAAAGAACUACAUGAGAAACUGCAGAUGGAAAAAGCAGCAGCACAUACUGAAAAGCGAAUGGUUGGAAGAAGACUAGUGUACCGGUCACAGCCACCAACAACAGAAAAUAUAAAUAUGAACAAGCAGCCAAUGCGCAGCAAGGAACAAGAAGAACUAUCAUAUUUCUUCUCCUGAGGCUUUAAAGCUAAGACAUCAGAAUCUGGAUAUUUCUCAGAUGUACAAAGUUGUCUUCACAGACAAAAAAAGUUUAAUUGAAUUUUUGAAUUUUUCCUGAUGUUACUGUAUGCACCCACCAUGUACAAAUCAAGCAAGAUGUUUAAAUCAGAAGAUAUGUUUUGUUUACAUUUUAGUUAAUUUUUGCCUUUUCAAGAACAAAUAACAUUUCAGCCUUGCAAAAAAUAAAAUAAAAAUGAUUACUGUAUGAAAGGACGGCACAGUGGAGUAAUAGUGAUGUGAUAGGGUCACAAACCUGUGGAGCUUCCACAUUCAUCCCAUGUCUCUGUGUUUUUUUCUCUUGCCAUAUUGGUUUUCUCCACUGUUUUGGUUUACUAGGUGUUUCUAUAUUUGUCCUCUUUGUGUGUGUGGGCCCCGCAAUAGACUGACACAAUCUCUAGGGGCUAAUGCUUGCCGCCUGCUUGAUUCUGCUGGAAUAUGCAUGAAUUACAUCAUUCAAGUUUGAGAAGAUUGUGGUUUCAGCAUAAUGAGCACAUGUGCAGCAAGCAGAAAUAGUAAUUAUGAACU